GGGUUGGAGAGGAAAAAAAUGGGGGUUGUGCAGUUUUUUUUUUUAAAUAUUGUGAAAUGAAUUUUUUUUUUUAGAUUUGUCUAGGGGUGUGCAAAAUUCAGGUAAAACCGAAAAAAUUUGGUUAACCGACCGAAUUCGGUUAAUCCUUCGGUUAACGGAAUUUUUUCGGUAUAGGGUCAAUCAAUUAUUUUUUAAUUUUUCGGUUAACGGUUAAUUCGGUUCGAAACCGG
rnacentral:lncRNA from 1 species